UGGGGAAUAUUGGACAAUGGGCGCAAGCCUGAUCCAGCCAUGCCGCGUGAGUGAUGAAGGCCCUAGGGUUGUAAAGAUCUUUCACCGGUGAAGAUAAUGACGGUAACCGGAGAAGAAGCCCCGGCUAACUUCGUGCCAGCAGCCGCGGUAAUACGAAGGGGGCUAGCGUUGUUCGGAUUUACUGGGCGUAAAGCGCACGUAGGCGGACUUUUAAGUCAGGGGUGAAAUCCCGGGGCUCAACCCCGGAACUGCCUUUGAUACUGGAAGUCUUGAGUAUGGUAGAGGUGAGUGGAAUUCCGAGUGUAGAGGUGAACUUCGUAUAUAUUCGGAGUAACACCAGUGGCGAAGGCGGCUCACUGGACCAUUACUGACGCUGAGGUGCGAAAGCGUGGGGAGCAAACAGG
rnacentral:rRNA from 1 species